rnacentral:rRNA from 1 species
CAGUGGCGAACGGGUGCGUAACACGUGAGGAACAUUCCCUCCGGUGGGGGAUAGCCGGCCUAACGGCCGGGUAAUACCGCAUACGCUGUCCGGGGUGCAUACCCUGGGUCGGAAAGCAGCAAUGCGCCGGAGAGGUGCCUCGCGGCCUAUCAGCUAGUUGGUGAGGUAAUGGCUCACCAAGGCGACGACGGGUAGCUGGUCUGAGAGGAUGGCCAGCCACAUUGGGACUGAGACACGGCCCAGACUCCUACGGGAGGCAGCAGUGGGGAAUCUUGCGCAAUGGGCGAAAGCCUGACGCAGCGACGCCGCGUGUGGGAUGAAGGCCUUCGGGUUGUAAACCACUGUCGCGAGGGACGAAGAUCUGACGGUACCUCGAAAGGAAGCACCGGCUAACUCUGUGCCAGCAGCCGCGGUAAUACAGAGGGUGCGAGCGUUGUCCGGAAUCACUGGGCGUAAAGGGCGCGUAGGCGGCCUGAUAAGUAGGAGGUGAAAUCCUGGGGCUUAACCUCAGGGCUGCCUUCUAGACUGUCCGGCUCGAGCACAGUAGAGGCAGGUGGAAUUCCCGGUGUAGCGGUGGAAUGCGUAGAGAUCGGGAAGAACAUCGGUGGCGAAGGCGGCCUGCUGGGCUGUUGC